GUCUUAUCAAGAGAAGCGGAGGGACUUGGCCUUAUGAUGCUUCAGCAACCUCUAGUUCAACUAGAAAGGUGCUACUUCCAGCAAGGUGUGAACCUUGGCAGAUAAGAA
rnacentral:ncRNA from 2 species